UACGGAGGGGGCUAGCGUUGUUCGGAAUUACUGGGCGUAAAGCGCACGUAGGCGGCUUUGCAAGUUAGAGGUGAAAGCCCGGGGCUCAACUCCGGAAUUGCCUUUAAAACUGCAUCGCUAGAAUUGCGGAGAGGUGAGUGGAAUUCCGAGUGUAGAGGUGAAAUUCGUAGAUAUUCGGAAGAACACCAGUGGCGAAGGCGACUCACUGGACACGUAUUGACGCUGAGGUGCGAAAGCGUGGGGAGCAAACAGG
rnacentral:rRNA from 1 species